rnacentral:rRNA from 1 species
UCGGGAAUAUUGCGCAAUGGAGGAAACUCUGACGCAGUGACGCCGCGUAUAGGAAGAAGGUUUUCGGAUUGUAAACUAUUGUCGUUAGGGAAGAAAAAAGACAGUACCUAAGGAGGAAGCUCCGGCUAACUACGUGCCAGCAGCCGCGGUAAUACGUAGGGAGCGAGCGUUAUCCGGAUUUAUUGGGUGUAAAGGGUGCGUAGACGGGUCUACAAGUUAGUUGUGAAAUCCCUCGGCUCAACUGAGGAACUGCAGCUAAAACUAUAGAUCUUGAGUGCAGGAGAGGUAAGUGGAAUUCCUAGUGUAGCGGUGAAAUGCGUAGAUAUUAGGAGGAACACCAGUGGCGAAGGCGACUUACUGGACUGUAACUGACGUUGAGGCACGAAAGUGUGGGGAGCAA